rnacentral:rRNA from 1 species
GACGGAGGGUGCUAGCGUUGUUCGGAAUGACUGGGCGUAAAGGGCGCGUAGGCGGCUCGUGAAGUCGGGGGUGAAAUCCUGGGGCUCAACCUCAGAAUUGCCUCCGAUACUGGCAGUCUCGAGUGCGGGAGAGGUGAGUGGAAUUCCCAGUGUAGAGGUGAAAUUCGUAGAUAUUGGGAAGAACACCUGAGGCGAAGGCGGGUUGCUGGGCUGACACUGACGCUGAGGCGCGAAAGCCAGGGGAGCAAACGGG